rnacentral:rRNA from 1 species
AGAGUUUGAUCAUGGCUCAGAUUGAACGCUGGCGGCAGGCCUAACACAUGCAAGUCGAACGGUAACAGGAAGCAGCUUGCUGCUUCGCUGACGAGUGGCGGACGGGUGAGUAAUGUCUGGGAAACUGCCUGAUGGAGGGGAUAACUACUGGAAACGGUAGCUAAUACCGCAUAAUGUCGCAAGACCAAAGAGGGGGACCUUCGGGCCUCUUGCCAUCGGAUGUGCCCAGAUGGGAUUAGCUUGUUGGUGGGGUAACGGCUCACCAAGGCGACGAUCCCUAGCUGGUCUGAGAGGAUGACCAGCCACACUGGAACUGAGACACGGUCCAGACUCCUACGGGAGGCAGCAGUGGGGAAUAUUGCACAAUGGGCGCAAGCCUGAUGCAGCCAUGCCGCGUGUAUGAAGAAGGCCUUCGGGUUGUAAAGUACUUUCAGCGGGAGGAAGGGAGUAAAGUUAAUACCUUUGCUCAUUGACGUUAUCCGCAGAAGAAGCACCGGCUAACUCCGUGCCAGCAGCCGCGGUAAUACGGAGGGUGCAAGCGUUAAUCGGAAUUACUGGGCGUAAAGCGCACGCAGGCGGUUUGUUAAGUCAGAUGUGAAAUCCCCGGGCUCAACCUGGGAACUGCAUCUGAUACUGGCAAGCUUGAGUCUCGUAGAGGGGGGUAGAAUUCCAGGUGUAGCGGUGAAAUGCGUAGAGAUCUGGAGGAAUACCGGUGGCGAAGGCGGCCCCCUGGACGAAGACUGACGCUCAGGUGCGAAAGCGUGGGGAGCAAACAGGAUUAGAUACCCUGGUAGUCCACGCCGUAAACGAUGUCGACUUGGAGGUUGUGCCCUUGAGGCGUGGCUUCCGGAGCUAACGCGUUAAGUCGACCGCCUGGGGAGUACGGCCGCAAGGUUAAAACUCAAAUGAAUUGACGGGGCCCGCACAAGCGGUGGAGCAUGUGGUUUAAUUCGAUGCAACGCGAAGAACCUUACCUGGUCUUGACAUCCACGGAAGUUUUCAGAGAUGAGAAUGUGCCUUCGGGAACCGUGAGACAGGUGCUGCAUGGCUGUCGUCAGCUCGUGUUGUGAAAUGUUGGGUUAAGUCCCGCAACGAGCGCAACCCUUAUCCUUUGUUGCCAGCGGUCCGGCCGGGAACUCAAAGGAGACUGCCAGUGAUAAACUGGAGGAAGGUGGGGAUGACGUCAAGUCAUCAUGGCCCUUACGACCAGGGCUACACACGUGCUACAAUGGCGCAUACAAAGAGAAGCGACCUCGCGAGAGCAAGCGGACCUCAUAAAGUGCGUCGUAGUCCGGAUUGGAGUCUGCAACUCGACUCCAUGAAGUCGGAAUCGCUAGUAAUCGUGGAUCAGAAUGCCACGGUGAAUACGUUCCCGGGCCUUGUACACACCGCCCGUCACACCAUGGGAGUGGGUUGCAAAAGAAGUAGGUAGCUUAACCUUUGGGAGGGCGCUUACCACUUUGUGAUUCAUGACUGGGGUGAAGUCGUAACAAGGUAACCGUAGGGGAACCUGCGGUUG